rnacentral:rRNA from 1 species
UGGGGGAUAUUGCACAAUGGGCGAAAGCCUGAUGCAGCGACGCCGCGUGGGGGAUGAAGGCUUUCGGGUUGUAAACCUCUUUCGCUAUCGAACAAGGCCCGCUUAGGGUGGAUUGAGGGUAGGUGGAGAAGAAGCGCCGGCUAACUACGUGCCAGCAGCCGCGGUAAUACGUAGGGCGCGCGGGUUGUCCGGAAUUAUUGGGCGUAAAGGGCUUGUAGGCGGCUUGUUCCGCCUGCUGUGAAAACGCCGGGCUUAACUUCGGGCGUGCAGUGGGUACGGGCAGGCUUAGGUGUGGUAGGGGGGACUGGAAUUCCAGGUGUAGCGGGGGAAUGCGCAGAUAACUGGAGGAACACCGAUGGCGAAGGCAGGUCACUGGGCCAUUACUGACGCUGAGGGGCGGAAGGAUGGGUAGGGAACAAG